rnacentral:rRNA from 1 species
UACAGGGGGUGCAAACGUUGCUCGGAAUCAUUGGGCGUAAAGCGCACGUAGGCGGUUCGUUAUGUCGGAUGUGAAAGCCCUUGGCUUAACCGAGGAAGUGCAUCCGAAACUGGCGAGCUAGAGUACUAAAGAGGAUCGCGGAAUUCCCGGUGUAGCAGUGAAAUGCGUAGAUAUCGGGAGGAACACCAGUGGCGAAGGCGGCCUUCUGGACCAGUACUGACGCUCAUGCACGAAAGCGUGGGGAGCAAACAGG